rnacentral:rRNA from 1 species
GAUGAACGCUGGCGGCGUGCCUAAUACAUGCAAGUCGAACGAAACUUCUUUAUCACCGAGUGCUUGCACUCACCGAUAAAGAGUUGAGUGGCGAACGGGUGAGUAACACGUGGGCAACCUGCCCAAAAGAGGGGGAUAACACUUGGAAACAGGUGCUAAUACCGCAUAACCAUAGUUACCGCAUGGUAACUAUGUAAAAGGUGGCUAUACUACCGCUUUUGGAUGGGCCCGCGGCGCAUUAGCUAGUUGGUAGGGUAAAGGCUUACCAAGGCAAUGAUGCGAAGCCGAUUUGGGAGGUUGAUCGGCCACAUGGGAACUGGAACACGGCCCAAACUCCUACGGGGGGCAGCAGAGGGGAAUCUUCCACAAUGGGGGAAAGCCUGAUGGAGCAACGCGGGGUGGGAGAAGAAGGUCUUGGGAUCGUAAAACCCUUUUGUUAGAGAAAAAGGGGGGGGGGAGUAACUGUUCACGUUUGGACGGUACCUAAAAAAAAAGCCCCGGCUAACUACGUG